rnacentral:rRNA from 1 species
CGUGACUGCGUGCCUUUUGAAGAAUGAGCCUGCGAGUUAGCGGUGUGUAGCGAGGUUAACCCGUGUGGGGAAGCCGUAGCGAAAGCGAGUCCGAAUAGGGCGAUUGAGUUGCACGCUCUAGACCCGAAGCGGAGUGAUCUAGCCAUGGGCAGGUUGAAGCGGAGGUAAGACUUCGUGGAGGACCGAACCCACCAGGGUUGAAAACCUGGGGGAUGACCUGUGGUUAGGGGUGAAAGGCCAAUCAAACUCCGUGAUAGCUGGUUCUCCCCGAAAUGCAUUUAGGUGCAGCGUCGUGUGUUUCUUGCCGGAGGUAGAGCACUGGAUAGGCGAUGGGCCCUACCGGGUUACUGACCUUAGCCAAACUCCGAAUGCCGGUAAGUGAGAGCACGGCAGUGAGACUGUGGGGGAUAAGCUCCAUGGUCGAGAGGGAAACAGCCCAGAGCAUCGACUAAGGCCCCUAAGCGUACGCUAAGUGGGAAAGGAUGUGGAGUCGCAGAGACAACCAGGAGGUUGGCUUAGAAGCAGCCACCCUUGAAAGAGUGCGUAAUAGCUCACUGGUCAAGUGAUUCCGCGCCGACAAUGUAGCGGGGCUCAAGCGUACCGCCGAAGUCGUGUCAUUGCAGCAAUAGGGCCAACGCCCGCUGUGAUGGGUAGGGGAGCGUCGUGUGCCGGGUGAAGCAGCAGCGGAAGCUAGUUGUGGACGGUUCACGAGUGAGAAUGCAGGCAUGAGUAGCGAUACACACGUGAGAAACGUGUGCGCCGAUUGACUAAGGGUUCCUGGGUCAAGCUGAUCUGCCCAGGGUAAGUCGGGACCUAAGGCGAGGCCGACAGGCGUAGUCGAUGGACAACCGGUUGAUAUUCCGGUACCCGCUUUGAAACGCCCAAUAUCGAAUCAGGCGAUGCUAAGUCCGUGAAGCCGUUCCGGACCCUUCGGGGAAAGGAAAGUGGUGGAGCCGACGAACCAGACUUGUAGUAGGUAAGCGAUGGGGUGACGCAGGAAGGUAGUCCAGCCCGGGCGGUGGUUGUCCCGGGGUAAGGGUGUAGGCCGAGGGGUAGGCAAAUCCGUCCCUCAUAUAAGGCUGAGACCUGAUGCCGAGCCGAUUGUGGUGAAGUGGAUGAUCCUAUGCUGUCGAGAAAAGCCUCUAGCGAGUUUCAUGGCGGCCCGUACCCUAAACCGACUCAGGUGGUCAGGUAGAGAAUACCGAGGCGUUCGGGUGAACUAUGGUUAAGGAACUCGGCAAAAUGCCCCCGUAACUUCGGGAGAAGGGGGGCCAUCACUGGUGAUCGGACUUGCUCCGUGAGCUGGGGGUGGCCGCAGAGACCAGCGAGAAGCGACUGUUUACUAAAAACACAGGUCCGUGCGAAGCCGUAAGGCGAUGUAUACGGACUGACGCCUGCCCGGUGCUGGAACGUUAAGGGGACCGGUUAGUGCACUUUCGGGUGUGCGAAGCUGAGAACUUAAGCGCCAGUAAACGGCGGUGGUAACUAUAACCAUCCUAAGGUAGCGAAAUUCCUUGUCGGGUAAGUUCCGACCUGCACGAAUGGCGUAACGACUUCUCGACUGUCUCAACCAUAGGCCCGGUGAAAUUGCACUACGAGUAAAGAUGCUCGUUUCGCGCAGCAGGACGGAAAGACCCCGGGACCUUUACUACAGUUUGAUAUUGGUGUUCGGUUCGGCUUGUGUAGGAUAGGUGGGAGACUUUGAAGCAUCAACGCCAGUUGGUGUGGAGUCGCCGUUGAAAUACCACUCUGGUCGUGCUGGAUGUCUAACCUCGGUCCGUGAUCCGGAUCAGGGACAGUGUCUGAUGGGUAGUUUAACUGGGGCGGUUGCCUCCCAAAGGGUAACGGAGGCGCCCAAAGGUUCCCUCAGCCUGGUUGGCAAUCAGGUGUUGAGUGUAAGUGCACAAGGGAGCUUGACUGUGAGACCGACGGGUCGAGCAGGGACGAAAGUCGGGACUAGUGAUCCGGCGGUGGCUUGUGGAAGCGCCGUCGCUCAACGGAUAAAAGGUACCCCGGGGAUAACAGGCUGAUCUUCCCCAAGAGUCCAUAUCGACGGGAUGGUUUGGCACCUCGAUGUCGGCUCGUCGCAUCCUGGGGCUGGAGUCGGUCCCAAGGGUUGGGCUGUUCGCCCAUUAAAGCGGUACGCGAGCUGGGUUUAGAACGUCGUGAGACAGUUCGGUCCCUAUCCGCUGUGCGCGUAGGAAUAUUGAGAAGGGCUGUCCCUAGUACGAGAGGACCGGGACGGACGAACCUCUGGUGUGCCAGUUGUCCUGCCAAGGGCAUGGCUGGUUGGCUACGUUCGGGAGGGAUAACCGCUGAAAGCAUCUAAGCGGGAAGCCUGCUUCAAGAUGAGUAUUCCCACCUCCUUGA